rnacentral:lncRNA from 1 species
CCUAGGUGGAUCGAUCCCUGCUGGUCCGCAAUGUGGGGUGCUGCAGGGUUUUCUGGCGUGGCCCCCAGAAACUAUCACCAGCGCCUUCAGCCUCGGUGCACAGGUAGAAGCAUGACCGUCUGGUCAUGAUGAGGAGCCAACAUCCAUUGUGGUCCAAGAUGGCCUUCUCCUGGCUGACGUGACUUGAGGACUACUAGAAUGGUGAGUCCCUGGAGCUUGGGGUGGGGCUGACAUCACUAAGCAGGGAGGCUGGUGAAUACUAUCUGGAGGCCAG